rnacentral:snRNA from 10 species
GGGUGAUCUUGCUGCAACAUCUGUCACCCCAUUGAUUGUCAGGGUUGAUUCAGCUGAUCUGGCUAUCACUCCUUGUGUGUUCCUCCCACAGCUGUGUGCUCAGUUGAAGAGGAUGACCAUCCCCAGUAGAGGAGGACAGGUCUUCGGUCAAGGGUAUAUGAGUAGCCGCUCUCCCCUGCUAGAACCUCCAAACAAGCUCUGACGAAUACUCAAAAAUAUUUUCCAAAUUCUGGAGAAAUCAGCUACAGUGAAACAAAUAUGCUCCAAAUUUUGUUAAUAGGAGUAUACUUUACUCAAUUGCUAAAAG